rnacentral:rRNA from 1 species
UACAGAGGUCUCGAGCGUUGUUCGGAUUCAUUGGGCGUAAAGGGCGCGUAGGCGGCGGGGUAAGUCUGGUGUGAAAUCUCGGAGCUCAACUCCGAAAUUGCACUGGAUACUGCUCUGCUAGAGGGCUGGAGAGGGAGAUCGGAAUUCACGGUGUAGCAGUGAAAUGCGUAGAUAUCGUGAGGAAGACCAGUGGCGAAGGCGGAUCUCUGGACAGCUCCUGACGCUGAGGCGCGAAGGCUAGGGGAGCAAACGGG